AUUUAAGUAGUUUAAGGUUGAAAAUAUUGAUUUGUGAAGUUAAAGAUAUAGAGAUUUUAUCUUAAAUA
rnacentral:tRNA from 1 species